rnacentral:lncRNA from 1 species
UUGCCCCCUUUGAAACAAGGUCUCAUGUAAUCUAGGUUAGCUUCAAAUAUGUUAUGUGGCCAACCUGGCUUUGAACUUCUGGUCCUCUUCCCUUUACCUUCCAAGAGCUUACAUUGCAUUUGGUUUUGCUUGUUUGUUUGUUUGUUUGUUUUUAUGGCUAGGAGGGAAUUUGUCAGAAUUUCAGAAAUAGCAAUUGUAGAGUGGUGAUUUCACUGAUUUUCUGUUUUGUUUUGGAGUUUUAUUUUAUUUUAUUUAGUGAGAUCAUCUUAUUCCAUAGCCCAGGCUGGUCUUAAGCUUGCCGUAGGCCUUGAACUCAUAGCCAUUCUCCUGCUUUACCCUCUCCAGUACUGAGACUGCUGUAGCCGUGGCUCACCAUACCUGCUAGUAUUACUGAGUUUUUCUUUCUAGACCAUGCUAUUUCUAUCAGGGGAAGUUUUUGUUCACUUUUUUUUUUCAGUGGUAGAGAUCCGACUCACGCACUAGGUUCUGCUAAUAAACUACAACCUUGGCCCUAGCAGAAAUAUAAGAAACAAAGUAACAAAUACAUGCUGGGUGUGGCCCUGUAGGCCAGUUACUCCAACACUAGGGAGGCUAAGACACUCCUGUUUUGAUUUUGAGGUUAAAAAACAAAUCCAUAAACCAAAGCUAAAGUAAAAAACUAAAAAAUUUUACUCAUUGCCCAACAGAAGACCAACAACAUUUGGAAGUCUGGGUAUAGUGUGUGUGUGUGUGUGUCCCUAGUUAUGUAGAAUAUGCUGGGCUUAAAUCUCCUCCUGCCUCUGUGUCUGGAGUGCUGCUUGCAGGUGUGAGCCACCACGACUGGCUCUGAUGAACCUUUAAGUCAGAAAAACGGGGCUUGGAUGACUUAACCAUCUUAUCUUUGAUCACUGUCUUAGUAAUACAGUUAGUCACUGCCUCGAAGCCAUACUAGGGUUAUGUUCAAGUAUCCUUCUGGUAAGAUGGAAAUGUUUGUGACAGGCUCUGUCACAACUUUGACUAACAUGGGUGUACAUGUUAGGAUCAAGCCUCACCUAAGGUCUUGCCAAGCAAAGGCCAUAAAUGCACUGAGUAAUAUCUCCAGCUUCAUUACCUUUUGAGCCAGGGCAUCACUAAGUGCUACAGGGCAUCACUAAAUGCUACAGGGCAUCACUAAAUGCCAGCCUUGAAUUUGUGCUCCUGCUAUCCCAGCCUCCGGAGUGGAUAGGAUUUUUGCCUGUACUAGCAAACCUGAUUUGCACUGACUCUUACAGAAGUGCUGCUGCGGGGCUGUGGGUGUGGUUCAGACAAUGCCCAAAGCCUCGUGAUCCC